UACAGAGGUCCCAAGCGUUGUUCGGAUUCAUUGGGCGUAAAGGGUGCGUAGGCGGUUUGUCGCGUCGGGAGUGAAAACCUCGGGCUUAACUCGGGGCUUGCUUUCGAUACGGACAGACUGGAGGUAUGCAGGGGAGAACGGAAUUCCUGGUGUAGCGGUGAAAUGCGCAGAUAUCAGGAGGAACACCGGUGGCGAAGGCGGUUCUCUGGGCAUGACCUGACGCUGAGGAGCGAAAGUGUGGGGAGCGAACAGG
rnacentral:rRNA from 1 species